rnacentral:rRNA from 1 species
UACGGAGGGUGCAAGCGUUAUCCGGAUUUACUGGGCUUAAAGGGUGCGUAGGCGGGCUUUUAAGUCAGUGGUGAAAACUCCGAGCUUAACUCGGAAACUGCCAUUGAUACUAUUAGUCUUGAAUUUAGUUGAGGUUGGCGGAAUGUGUCGUGUAGCGGUGAAAUGCUUAGAUAUGACACAGAACACCGAUUGCGAAGGCAGCUGGCUAAACUAAAAUUGACGCUGAGGCACGAAAGUGUGGGGAUCAAACAGG